UUAAUUCUCUACUUCAGUUUGCCAUGCCGGCAGCAAAGCAGUCUCUAGAGCAAGAAAAAGCCCUCAAAGUGGUGCAGGUGGCAGUAUCUGCACUGAAGUGGUGAGGAAGGAGCAGCAACAUUUCAGGACUUCUUGGGUGGAAGAAAGUUGGCAGAGAGAAAGUCCACAAUCUUCAACUCCAUGAGGAAUUAAGAGGAAGGCCUCACCCAUGCUUGAAAAAUAACUGCUUCUAG